rnacentral:rRNA from 1 species
UACAGAGGUCUCAAGCGUUGUUCGGAAUCAUUGGGCGUAAAGGGUGCGUAGGCGGCGCGCUAAGUCGGGUGUGAAAUUUCGAGGCUUAACCUCGAAACUGCAUUCGAUACUGGCGUGCUUGAGGACUGGAGAGGAGACUGGAAUUCAUGGUGUAGCAGUGAAAUGCGUAGAGAUCAUGAGGAAGACCAGUGGCGAAGGCGGGUCUCUGGGCCGAUACUGACGCUGAGGAGCGAAAGCGUGGGGAGCGAACAGG